UUGCUUCAGCAGCACAUAUACUAAAAUUGAAAUGAUACAGAGAAGGUUAGCAUGGCCCCUGUGCAAGGAUGGCAUGCAAAUUCGUGAAGCGUUCCAUAUUUCU
ensembl:snRNA U6 U6 spliceosomal RNA